AUUUAUAUAGUUUAAAUAUAAAACACUACAUUUUCACUGUAGAAAUAAAAAAAUUUUUAUAAAUA
rnacentral:tRNA from 1 species